rnacentral:rRNA from 1 species
CCGCGGUAAUACGUAGGGGGCAAGCGUUGUCCGGAAUUAUUGGGCGUAAAGCGCGGGCAGGCGGUGGUCCAAGUCGGACGUGAAAGCUCCCGGCUCAACUGGGAGAGGUCGUUCGAAACUGGGCCGCUAGAGGGCAGUAGAGGGGCGUGGAAUUCCGGGUGGAGUGGUGAAAUGCGUAGAGAUCCGGAGGAACACCAGAGGCGAAGGCGGCGCCCUGGGCUGCACCUGACGCUGAGCCGCGAAAGCUAGGGGAGCGAACGGG